GGGGAGGCGAGCGCGGCCGCCGAGGAUCGCGGCGGAGCCGGGCCCCGGCCGCUCCGCUCCCGGCCCGACGGCGGCUCCGGCCCCUGCGCUGCCCGCGCUGGACUCCGCGCCUCGCUGCCCCGCGGAGCCCCGGCCUUCCCCGCCCGCCAGCGGCCGACACCGAAGCAUCGCUGCCCACGAACCCGCUCGGGGAUCACGGGGGCACCGGCCCGGCUGCACGGUGGACAGGGGCCGAGCUUGUCGCGGGUCCAGCCACAAAGACGGAGACCGGCGGGCGCCCCUCGGGCGGCCCCGCGACCGGCGGAGCUCCCCCCGCGUACCGGCCGCUCUACAGAGCGGCUCUGCAGCCCGCGGCUCCGACCGAGCCCCCGCCGCGCCGAGCCUCCCCGCCGACGGUUCUCUGCCCCCGGCCGCCGCCGCUGCAGCGCCCAGCGGGCCGGGCCCGGCCGUUGUGCGGGGCCGUCGGCCCGGGAAGAGUCGCCCCGCCGGGUGCGCUCGGCGAUGACUGAUUCAGCCCACUUUCCCUCCCUCGGAAGGAUAAAUGUAAGCAAGCUGCAAAGUGUAGUUACUAAUAACAAUAACAAUAAAUUAUCGGGCUGUUGCUCGGUAGUGCAAACAAA